rnacentral:lncRNA from 13 species
CCACCUGUUCCCUUUUUCCCUCUGAUUGGGUCUCUAUUUCUCUCUCUGUUCCUGCUUCUGUCUUUGUCAGAUUCUCGUUUGAGUUUCUCAUGCCAGAACCAAACUAUCGUCUUGUUUGCUUCAACCUUGUCCUGUCCUGUCGGAAUCUGCCUGUUCAUCUGAGUCUACGUGUGAUCAGAAUGCCAGUUUCAUGAAUGAGGCCUGUUGGCUACUACCUGCAUGGAGACCAUGUGAGUGUGCUUGAGUGAACUAAAGCCUGUGUGCUUACCAAAGUUGCCAUGGUGCAAUAGAAAACUAGGCACUUUGGCACAAAGUGCACAUUUUGUUUUGUUUUAGCGGUAUGAUGACUGAAUGUUAUUCUAAUGAAGACAAGGAAUGCUCGACUGACUAGCGCUAUAGGUAGGCCAUAGAAUGCGUCAUUCUGUGCUGUGCACAGCAACCUCCCCCGGUUAUUUUCCUUUGUCAGCAUAACAGGCUAUUAUUCACUCACAGCUAACUUUGCACUUAAAUAAUUGUUUUUGGCAGACUUUAUUCUUGGUACUUCACCCUAUAAUUGCAGCCCUGAGUGACCACCAUAACCAGUUUAAUAUUAUUGGUGGCCCCCUAGAUGAGUAAAUGGUUUCACCUAAUUGGGGAGGAUGAGCUCCUGGUAAUUUGC